rnacentral:lncRNA from 1 species
GCAGCAGCAGCAGCAGCACAGGCAAUGACUCUGCCGCAUCCGAAUCGCCUCGCCGGUGGUGCCGGCUCCGGAGACAUCACCUUGCUCUGAAGUUGCCCACCUGGAGGAGCAAUGUCAAAUACGGUACUCUGCAAAAAAUAGUGUGUGGAUUUCUAGCACCUGAAGAACAAGAAAAGGUCUCAGACUCUGGAUACUGGCUGUGGGAUUUUUUUAUUACUAUUAUUUUUGAUUGUUUUUUUCCCAUUUUUGGAUGUGAAUUGAAGGCCAACAGUUGAAGUGUUGGAAGCAAGUACAGGAGGACUCUCACCUUUUUGUUUGAACCCUUGUUUGCUGGGAUACUUUCAAGCUCUCCUUCACAGUCAUGUGGUCAUCACAGCUGCUCUUCUUCACAAUGCUCUUAACACCGAUAGCCCAUGGUGAGUGAGAGGUGGUGUAAAUUUGCCUGU